GUGGGGCAGGGCAGAGCAGACCGGAAGGCGCUCCGUGACCCGUUCGACACUUGGUACAUCGGCCGCAACUGUAUCGCCCGCAUCGCCACGGUCUCAGUCCUUCAGGUUUCCUGGGGUUAUCGCGUUGUUUGAUGGGUCGUUUGAUGACUCCGCCAUUGGAUUGGGAGGAAAGAAGAGAAUUAAUGUUUAGUAAGCACUUGCUGAAAUCCUUCAUCAGCCAGGCUGAGCUUGAUCCUAUUGGGAUAUUUUGAAAUUUACAUCACGUGGACCUUGGUAGGAGUGAUGAAAGAUGGGCAAUUUCGGCCACAGCCAGAUAUCCCUAGGGAACCAUUCUCAGCUCCGAAUGGCUCUCCUCACUUAAUCACAAGUUAAGCCUCUGACUUAGAGAAAGUGAGGUAAGUUCCUAAGGUACCAGGCAGAGAAUCUAGGGGGAGCAGUCCUGGGAGAGAUGGGGUUACUAAGGACAUCACCACUGGAAGCACUGAGUUCCAAACUUAGGCUGUUGGUUUCCCUAUGAGUCACUGGGUAAAUGCCCUCAUAGGCUGUCCAUUCCAGUGAGACACUUGGCAGGGUCCAGGCACCUGAUAGAUUUGAAAGCAGGCUGGGACUUCCCUGGUGGUCCAGUGGUAAAGAAUCCGCCUUCAAAUGCAGGGGAUGCGGGUUCGACCCCUGGUCGCGGAACUAAGAUCCCACAUGCCGGGGGCAACUAAGCCCGUGCGCUGCAACUACUGAGCUCGCGUGCCUCAACGAGAGAGCCCCCAAGCUGCAAUGAAAGAUCCCGCAUGCCUCAACGAAGACCCCGCGUGCCGCAACUAAGACUCAACACAGCCAAAAAUAAAUAAAUAAAAUGAAUAAAUAUGAAAGCAGGCAUCCUGCGCUGAUGUUGCCACACAGGUGUGCCAAAGGAAAUAAAAAAUAGAAAAAGUGUUGACAAUCACAUCAGGUUAUCACUCACUUUCCUUACAGAGCUUUCCCUUGGGAGAGCCCCUAACAUAAUAAUUAUUAGGAAUUAUCGAAUGUCAGCAUAUUUUUAAUGAGCAUUUAACCCAUCCAAUGUACUCUCCCAGAUAUGGUAGGACCCAGGGAUACUAUGCUGGACAUGCCCCCUGACAUCAUGCAAGGUAUCAGGGAGACCUUUUUCUUUUUAUAAUGAUUUAAACUCCACCUCAUCCCCAGGUGACCACAGAUCUGCUUUCUAUCACUGUAAGUGAGUUUUCAUUUUCUAAAAGUUCAUAUAAAUAGAAUCACAUGGUAUGUACUCUCUCUUCUCUGGUUUCUUUCACUCAGAAUAAUUAUUUUGACAUUUAUCCAUAUAGUUGUGUGUAUCACUAAUAGUUCAUUCCUUUUUUAUUGCUGAGUAAUGUUCCAUUAUAUGAAUCCAUCACAAUUUGUUUAUUCAUUGACCUGUUAAUGGACAUUUGGGUUGUUUCCAGGUUUUAACUAUUACAAAUAAAGCUGCUUUGAACACGCA